GUGAACGCUGGCGGUAGGCCUAACACAUGCAAGUCGAACGGCAGCACAGUAAGAGCUUGCUCUUACGGGUGGCGAGUGGCGGACGGGUGAGGAAUACAUCGGAAUCUACUUUUUCGUGGGGGAUAACGUAGGGAAACUUACGCUAAUACCGCAUACGACCUACGGGUGAAAGCAGGGGAUCUUCGGACCUUGCGCGAUUGAAUGAGCCGAUGUCGGAUUAGCUAGUUGGCGGGGUAAAGGCCCACCAAGGCGACGAUCCGUAGCGGGUCUGAGAGGAUGAUCAGCCACACUGGAACUGAGACACGGACCAGACUCCUACGGGAGGCAGCAGUGGGGAAUAUUGGACAAUGGGCGCAAGCCUGAUCCAGCCAUACCGCGUGGGUGAAGAAGGCCUGCGGGUUGUAAAGCCCUUUUGUUGGGAAAGAAAAGCAGCAGGUUAAUACCCCGCUGUUCUGACGGUACCCAAAGAAUAAGCACCGGCUAACUUCGU
rnacentral:rRNA from 1 species